ACUGGGUGGGUUGGCACAUGCCUGUAGUCCCAGCUACUGGUGAGCCUGAGGUAGAAAGAUUGCUGAAGUCCAGGAGUUCUGGAUUGUAGUACCCUGUGCCAGUUGGUGUCUGCACCAAGUUCAGCAUCAAUCAUUAUGGUGACUUCCUGGGAGUGGGGACCACCAGGUUGCCUAAGGAGGUGGUGAACCCGCCUGGGGUUGGAAACAGGUCAAAAACUCUGUUGUUGAUCAGUAGUGGGAAUAGCCUGUGAACAGCCACUGCCCUCCAGCCUGGGCAACAUAGUAAGGCCUCAU
rnacentral:SRP_RNA from 1 species